rnacentral:lncRNA from 1 species
CUUUUUAUAGGGAGAUGAACUUGACUUUUGUUUCUUUCCAUUUCGGAGCUUGCUCCAUGAUGAUAUCUCAACGGGACACGAUGCAUUUUAACCCCUUGGGGAAUGACAAACAAUGACACGCAGCCAUCAGUGCAGAGUAUACAGAGUGUCUGAUGGGAUGAAGUGGACCCUGAGCACCCCAUGCCUCCAGGAAGAUGGGUUGAGAUCCCCAGGGCUUCGACACUAUCAGUAACACCUCCCUCGGGGAGGAGACCAAAGCUUUGAGGGGCUAACUGACUUUCCCAAGGCUACGUGGCUAGUAAGGGCCUGAGAUGGGAUUCAGCCUCCGCUCCCCAGACCUCAGUCCAGAGCUCAUGCUCCAAUGUCACAGCUGCCAGAGUGACUUGAAACAAAACCAGGCAGGGCUUGUUCAAAGACAUAAGCCAGCAGCUCACCGUGGGGCCUGAUGGGGCAUGUUGCAUGGAAACUGGAAAUUGGCGUUGAGACCCAGGCUUACUGUGGCACUACAGGGUUACUGCCACUCCAGUGGAUGACACCUGAAAUGGAUGCAAACAAAGGGCUUCUUCUUGCAGUAUGGAAUGUCACCUUACCAAGGCCCAGGAGCUGUUGUCAUGUGCUGAGCAUAAGCCUGCCAGAGCAACGGAUAGGUGGAAAGGAGAGCUCUGAGCUGAGAAUGAGACUGGAGGCAGGCGCAAGCCGUUCUGAGACCCUGUCCAGCCUGACCAUCUGAUUCGGGACGCUCCUAGCAGGUGCUCCAGGUCUUCUCUGGCUCCUCUUCCCCUUGCUGGCCAGGUUCCAGCUCCAUUCGUGCCCUUUAAGCUUCUCAGACAUGCGCAGCUCUUUCCUACUUCAGGGUCUCCAGGCGUGUUGCUCCCUUUACCUGGAGCACUCUUCCUCUGUUCUUUGCAAGUCAGAUUUCUCCACAAGAAUGUUCUCAUCUCAGAAAGUCCUUCCUUGGCCACUGAAAUGGGUUGACUAGUGACUCCCAAAAGAUAUGUUCACGCCCUGACACCUGGAAACUGUGAAGCUGACCUUAUUUGGAAAAAGGGUCUUUGCAGAUGUCAUUAAGUUCAGGAUCUUGAGAUGAGAUCAUUCUGGACAAGGGUGGGGUUUAAAUCCAAUGACAGGUGUCCUUAUAAGAAGAGAGAACAUGGAGUCGCACAGGGAGAAGGCAAUGUGAAGAUGGAGGCAGAGACCAGAGUGAGCAGCCCAAGCCAAGGAAUACUGGCAGCCACCAGCAGCUGGAUGAGGCAAGGCAGGAUUCUCCCCUAGGCCCUUGAGAGGGAGCACAGCGCUGCUGACACCUGGAUUUCAGAGGUCUGGCUUGCAGAAUUGUGAGAGAAUAAAUUCCUGUUUUUAAACCAUCAAGUUUGUGUAAUUUGUUAUAGCC